rnacentral:rRNA from 1 species
UACGUAGGUGGCAAGCGUUGUCCGGAAUUAUUGGGCGUAAAGCGCGCGCAGGCGGUCCUUUAAGUCUGAUGUGAAAGCCCACGGCUCAACCGUGGAGGGUCAUUGGAAACUGGGGGACUUGAGUGCAGGAGAGAAGAGUGGAAUUCCACGUGUAGCGGUGAAAUGCGUAGAGAUGUGGAGGAACACCAGUGGCGAAGGCGACUCUUUGGCCUGUAACUGACGCUGAGGCGCGGAAAGCAUGGGGAGCGAACAGG